rnacentral:misc_RNA from 1 species
GCUGGGCCUGCGCAUUGCCCCGAUCGAUCCGCGGUGCCUGCCCACCCUGCAUAUCCUUGAUGAACGGCCUCAGAUCGGCCACGGCGCCGCGGACGGUCAGCUUGGUGACGUUGCCGUCCCGCUUGGCGUCGAGCUUGAGGUUGUCGCCUGGCGAUAGCCGGAACUGCGAAAAGCUGGCGCUCUCCAGCCCGUUCUUCUUGUCGAGUUCGACGCGUCCCUUGAUCAGCGCCGUUCCGGCGUCGAGCACGAAAUCCUCGAGGUCGGGUCCAUCGCCCGAAAUCACGUAACUGAAAGCGAGCUUGCCCGGCUUACCGGCAGCCUUGCUGAGA